CAAGCUGCCUGGUUUUUGUUGGUUUUUACAAACUUCUUGCUCUUGAAAGCCGAACUUUUUAUUGUGUAAAUGUUUUGAGGACUCAAGUUAUCUGCAUUUAGAAAAAAAAACAGGAGCGCUUCUUUAACCUCAUGAGCAGCUUCCUCCCUGCCCCUGGUGAACCGGAAGCUGUGUGAUCACCGCUGUCCAGGCACCAGGCCAUCGCCACAUGGGCUCUGUGAGCGCAGCCAGGGCUGGUGUCCACGCUGAAAUGAGCCCGUGAGGGCAAAGCGGAAAGCAGUGGGCGAAGCUGUAAGGACAGUGGGAAAGCCGGAAAACCUUUAGCAGUGAAGAAUACUGUACCAAUGAUUGCUUGGCCCAAACGCACUCCAGCUGAUGUGCAUCCUAUCUAUAAGCCGUGAAGAUCUCUUUCUGCUCUACUUCCACUGGGUCUAUACUUGGACGAACCAAAGAGAAUGCAAAGACUGAUCAAAUUUAAAUUGAAAAACUGUUAUAAUAAAAAACACGCUGCCAUUGAGUCACUCUCAGACUAUUCCCUUCUUCAAAUGUGCUGAUCCCGUCAUUCUUACCACUUUCUGAAACAGCUCUGAAAGUCCUCUUUUGUGAAGGGCUUUGUGUGGUAUGUUCAAAAUUACAGUGAAAACUGCUUCAACUGUCACCCAGUGCAAAGCUUCCGAGUCAUCGCCAAGUCACACUGUCUCAGGACUGUGGAUCUCGGAGCCACUGAGAAGCUGCUAAGAAUCUCAAAAGAAAAGUAUUCUCUUAUCAGCUUUUCUCAGAUGCAGAAAUUUAUGAGGUUUGCUCCUGCCAAGAGGGAGGACAGCCAGUGUCAGGCACCCCUGUGCACCUCACCAACCAGAGAGCGCACCGUGCGUGGAGCCACUCAGUGCCCGUGUACCUCAGAGUGGAGCAGAAACUGAGGGCUGAGCUUGCAGUGUGUAUGCAUUGUUUUGAAGAGAAGCUGUGCUACUAACAUCACUAACAUCAGAUGAGGAAACAAUAGAACAGUCAGAAAAUAAGCCACUUGGAAUGCUGAGCAGCAUAAAAAUCGCCUUCAUCACAACGCACGUGAGAAGUGGCCUCGAGCUGCCGUUCCAGCUCCUGCAGUUCAUCCUUGUCCCUGAGCACCGGUGAAUCACUGAGCUUGGGGGCAGCUCCACAGCGUGCAGACCGUCCCACUGAGUGGCCUUGCACAGGUUUCUGACAAUGCCUACGACAGCCACGGGAGUUCUAAAAAUUCUGGCAUCAGGAAGAGGAGGCGUUUGGUGCAGGAGGCCAGACAAAGCUUCGAAUAUAGCACAAGCUGGGCUGAAGCUGAAGGACUUGCAGGCCCACAUCACAUCCCCAGCACUGACCUUCUGUCAGGUCUACCGCGGGCACUCGUAAAUGACAGACCUUCCCUUGACAAAUGGUAAAAGUGACCCACUGAGAGGUGGAAACAUAAAUGGAGUGUUUCUUCCUCUACACAUGAGGAAAAGAUACAAUCAAAGCGUAAGUUCCACUUAGCAGAUGUGCAGGCAAUUACUUCUGUGAUCAUUUCAUUUCCUUUUUUCUUCUCUACAAGUCCUGUGCUUUCUAAACUUACUCUCCCCCCAAACACGCCUGUGUGUGGUGCACUGCCUCUUCUCUCCUUCCCUUCUCACUGAUCUUAGACAGCCCAGGGCUUUGGCUUGAUCCUCUCUGUCAGGUCCCAGAUCUGUUCUUGCAAGUGUCCUAUAGAUGUCCAUCCCUCCAACAUAAGCACAUGAGCCCCCCGAGUCCCCACCCAACCCCACCUCCUCCUUGUUCUCCCACCCUAUUUCCCAUCCUGCUUAACCACAUCUCUAAAGCCAACAGUGCUGGCAACACAUUCCGCAGAAAUAUCAUCAGGAGUGCUCCUGCCUGAGCUGCCAAGACAAGUCUAGCAAGCUGAAUAACAGUCCCCCCAAUGAGGUCCUUAGUCCAGCCCCUAGUACCUGUGAAAUUUACAUGGCCAAAGGAACUUUUCAGAUAGGAGGAACUUCACAGAUGUAAGUUAAGGAUUUUGAGAUGCAGCCAUUGCCAGGGAUCAUUCAGGUGGGUCUGAUGGAAUCACGAGUGUUGGAGGGGGAGUAGAUGUCAGUCAGCAGAUGUGAUGAUAGUGACAGAAGUUGAAAGGAUGAGGCUGCAAGGUAAGGUGGCUUUAGAAACUGGAAAAGGUGGACAAACUGGCUCCCCUGGAAAUUUCAGAGGAACUGAGCCUUUGAUUUCAGUCUUAUAAUAUCCAUUUUGGUCAUCGGACCUAUGAGACUGUAAUAUAAUAAAAUUAUGUGGUCCUAAGCCCUGAGCUUUGGUAAUUUGUUACGGCAGCAAUAAGACACUAAUGCCACAAGAGAGUCCAAACCUAGAAAUGAGUGAGAGUCAGGUGUCUAAAGAAAAUCACUUCUCUGACAUCUGUGGUAGAAGUGGGCCACAGUGCAGAAUGGAUUUGGUGAGGGGAGAGUGAAGCAAUGGCUCUCGGGAGCUGUGGCAUUUGUGGGUCUCCUAUUCCCGUGCUUAGGGGAGGGAACAGGUGCAACUUCUUAACUCUGAUCUCAUGAAAGAGACUUCCAGUUUCCACUAGGGAGCUUUGCGCUUCCUACUCUUGGGAUACAGGGAUUUCUAAUGCCUGGUCCACUCUGGGUCUGCAGGCCAGGUCUGCUUCUGAGGAUCUGGAAGCCAGGGGUGGGUGUGGGUCCUUCCCUGGGGGGAGUGGGGCCCUGGACCCUGGACCUACUCGGAUCUCCCUGGAGUAGUGUGGGUCACGAGGGGGAGAUGUGGGUUGUUCACCCAAGAGAAUUCCCUGCAAACAGAGGCUGCAGAUGUCUUCCUGAUACCCAGAUCUCAGGAAGGAAGAGGGCUUCCAGGGACUCCUGAGAUGUGACAGAGCAGUUGAGGAGAGUGAGAUGCAUGUGUCACAUGGAACCUGAGGGGAAUCGCCCGCUGCUUCCCUCCUCCCAGACCUGAACAUCGUAAUUUUUAAGGGAGCCUGUUUAUGCAACUGAAAGAGACUAGAGCACUUGCCUUGUGGUCGCCAGAAAGGUCAUGAGCUGCCUGAUCUUCACCCAAAAACAAAAAAGAGCCUUGUUCUACAACUCUCAAUGAAGCUUAAAGGGAGAGGAGAGAAAACAAAGUCACAGUGGGUACAGCCAUACCUCUGGGUCCUUCACACACCUGUCCCACCUUUGAAGGUCCUGUGCCCUUGGCCCCAGUCCUGUCUCUUGUCCCAGACCUGUACAGGCCUACACUGUCCCCCUGUACAGCCCACCACGUUUGCCUCACUGCCUGCAGGCCACCUUAGCCACUGCACUUGGCAGAUUCUCCAAAGCCUCACGGGGACAGAACUAUCUUGUGCAGAGAUCCCUGGAAUCCUCUGCUCUCCAAUUUGGAGAAUGAAGUUCCAAUUGCUUUGUAUGACAUUUAAGGUCCCUCGUAGUAUUUUAUCCCACACUGUACCCCUCGCCUCCAGGCCCUGAGCAUGCCCACAGUCCCUAGGGCUUCCUACCCCACCACUCUCUGUUCUUAUAAAGCUGUCAUCAUUUGAAGGCCCAGGAGCAAGGACAGCCCCAUUGGGAGGUCCUGGGCAGGCUCCCUUGGAAGAUGUGACCUUUCCUUUUACUCCACCGGAACCCAUUGGCUUUCUCCAUUCCUACGGCUGGGCACUGGGGCACAGUGGCUGAUACAGUGUGGCUCUUGUCCUCAGGGCCUUCAAGACGCAGCGUCCCCAGACACAGAUAAGCAGAGCCAUUUGUGCAUACCAGCAGUCAUUAGCAAUGCCAUGCAAACAGAGGAAGCCAUGAGGGUGGGCACCAAGACACGACUGUGUUACACUUUACAGUUCACACACACAAUACACCCAAGUACACACAUCUCCACCACAUGGUAAGCUGUUGAUCUGGAACACUCUCUAUUAAUUUACUAAUUUUUUCCUUUGAAAUAGGUCUUGCUAAGUUGUCCAAGUUGGGUCAAAUUUAUGAUCUCCUACCUCAGUCUCCCAGACUGCUGAGGUUACAGGCAUGAAACACUGCUGGCCACACCCACCUCGGAGACACUGUUCAACUUACUGGAGCAGGCUCAGGCAUCAGUGUUUGAGAGAACAUUUUCCAGAGAGAUCCCACCAACAGCCAGGGCUAAGAAGCACUGUUCUCAGUGGUGCUGAAGUGCUGCCUUCCCCAAGAGUGUGGAGAAAUCAAGGCAGGGAGACAUUCUUGAGUUCCUGCAGCUGGUUAAGAAUGGACUCAGAAGUUCAUGUGACCUGGCAUGAGUGUCUUCCUAUGUCAAAGCCCAAAAUUCUUUUGGAGGAGGCAUUCAAGGCCACCCGCAGGUGUUUUAGCAGGAUGUUACUGCUGUUCCUCUAGCAGAAUGGAGUGGAUGGCACUGGCUGUCUGCAAGUUGCUUCAGUAAAAAGCACUGUAGUGGCUUGAUCUUCAAGAAAUUUCUAAAAGGUAAUCAGCAUGGACAAGGAGAAACAACCAGACCUGCUCCUGCAUACCUGUCACCAUUGGGAUGCUUGCUUCCUGUGAGCAGCCAGAGUGGGCUGGGAGGAGCAGCCAGACAUGCCCCAUGUGCCCACAGGAGACGCUUGUUUUCUGUGGGCAGCUAGUGCAGGCCAGGAGAAUCAGACAAACAUCCUUGUGUACCUGCCACCACUGGGGGAGCCCUGGUGUAGCUAUGCAGGAUGAGAGAAGAAGCAGCCCUGCCAGCACACAUCCACUACCAUCAGGGAAGCCUCAGUGUAGCUGAACAGGUCUGGAGAAGCCCACUCCAUGCCCCACUACCUCUCUAGGAGCCUGGGUUUGGAGAAACCCAGGUGCCUAGUCCAUUCCCCUACACUGUAGAGGGGCAGCCAAUAGUGAGAAGCACCUGGGACCCCACAACUGGCUUGCUGGGAGGAAUCUAGGAAAAUAUUAAGAUGAAGGAACAAGAGGCAAUCUCACAGCUCCAGCCCACACAGAACGAGUCUGGGAGAUACAGUCAUGGAGUAACAUGGAAGUCACACCCUGAAAUCUCUGAAAGGAUAGCACGGGAAGGAAAGAAACAACUUCAUGAGGCGGCAAAAGUAAUCAGCUCAGAAAUAAUAUCUCAGCUAAAAGAAGAAAUGUGAAACAUAAUGAAAGAAUUGCUGAGCAUAUCUAAAGAAGACAUAGAUAAGAAAAAAAGAGUAGCAUAGGAAAAUGAUGGAAACAUUUAAUGAGCAACACAGGAAAGGACUGCAGUGCAUGAAACAGAUUCAAAGAGAUAUCCAGGAAAUUAAAAACUUUAUUGAAAGCAGUCAAGGGAUUGAAGAUAGACUUUCAGUCCUUAGAGAUAGGAUUGCAGUUAGUGAUUGUGAAAAUAAAGAUCUGUUAAAAAUAGCAAGGAAUCAGGAAAUAACAAUUCAAAGGCUGCAAGACAGCACAAAGAAAAAUAAUUUAAGACUGAUACAUGUCAGUGAAAAAGCAGGGGUCAACACAAAUUACAUAAAAAUACUGUUUACAGAAGAAAUUGUAGAAAACUUCCCAAACAUGGGGAAAAGACCUGGUAUACAGAUAAAUGAGGCAUAUAGAACUCCAACUAGCCAUAACCAAAAUAAAUCUACACCCAGACGUAAUAGUCAAUAUCCCAGAAAUUCAGCACAGGAACAUUAGAGGCUGUUGGAGAAAAAACAAACCAGAUCACCUAUAAAGGAAAACCCAUUAGAAUCAAGGCAGACUUAUCACAAAAAUCAUGAAGAAGAGCUUGGAGUGAAGUAUUUCAAAUCCUGAAAGAAAUCAACUUCCAACCCAGAUUGAUGUACCUGAAAAACUAUCUUUCAAAAUUGAUGGGAAAAUAAGACACUUCUGUGAUAAAGAAUGACUGAAGGGAUCCAUGACAUCCAAACCAACCCUACAAAAAAACGCUGAAGGACAUUCUAGAGAGAGCUAAAGAUGACUAUGAUUUCAGGAACAGCAGUAGAGGAGGACUGAUGAGCAGGGCAGGCAAUAGAAUGCAGGGAGAAAGUAGAGGGCCAACAGCAGGAGGAUAACAUGGUAGAGAUGAGCCAGUGCAUGCCAAUUGUGACCAUUAAUGUAGAUGGCCUCAAUUCACCAAUAAAAAGAAACACAGGGAGAGUGGAUCAAGAAACAAGAUUCAUCAAUAUGUGUAUACAAGAAAGACAUUUAACGCCAAAGGAAAUUCAUAGACCAAAAGUUAAAGGAGAGAAGACAAUGUUCCAUGCUACAAAAAACCAGAAAAAAGCAAGAGCAGCUCACCCAUUACCCACAGAAUGGAUAAGAAAGGUAUGGUAUAGUUAUACAACGAAAAGCUACUCUGCUACAAAGAAGGAUAAUCUCUAGGCUCUUGUUGGUAAAUAGAUGCAACUUGAGAUCAUGCUUAUGGGUAAAAUGGUUUGGACUCACAUGGGUGAACAUCAUGUUGUCUCCUUAGCACAAAAAACUGAAGGGGUUAGUGGGAUCCAAAAUGUGCAAUAGAUAGGAGAGGAAACAUCUAAAAGCAGUAGGUGGUAGCCAUUGUUAACUUCUUAUUUUCUUAUUUUGAAUUCCUGUGUAUUUCCAUUGUUUUAUUUUGUUUGGUUUGGUUUUAUUCUGUCUUGUUUUGCUUGAUUUUAUUUGUCUGAUGGCAAGGGAAGCUAUUUUGAAGAUAACAAGAUAUAUUAUGGAUGCCAUUGUUGAGUUCCUAUGAUCUAGUUUUGAAGCCCCAUAUUGCUUUCAUUGUUUUGCUUUGAUUGGUUCUAUUCUGUUUUGUUUUGUUUGAUUUUAUUAUGUCUGAUGAUAUGGGCAGCUAUUAUAAGGAAAACAAAAGGCAUUAUGGAAGCCAUUGUUGAUUUCCUAUUAACUUAUUUUGAAGUCCUGUAUCACUUUCAUUGUUAUGUU